UACUUGGAUUUCUGGUGCACAUUUUAUAAUUUCUUUAAUUAUAUAAGGAGGUUAGUAACAAUUUAAUUGAUCAAUAAUGGGCUGUAAAUUCCGCGUUCCUGUUUCAAACGCUUAUGACCCUUUGACUCCUUGUAUUACACAUGCAAUCACUCAUAAGUAUUCCUUAAAUUGCGGACCGUACAAAGGCUAUAAAACCGAAACCUUUAUCACCAUCUUUUCUUCACCACAAGCACAUCUCGACACCCUUUCUGUUUCGAUAAACACCACCACAACACCAUCACGUAAACGACAUACCCACACAUCUCGACCCCACAACACCUUUCACGAGAAAAAUACACGUCGCCGGAAACCUCAAUCAAUCGCCGGUGAUCGGAGAAGACGACCAUAGUUUUUGACAGGAACCACUCCACUCGAUUCGGAAGAUGAUCCUGAUGACUCGCAUAAACGAAAUCAAAAUACCUUUUCGAAUAACCCUCACACUUGUCGGAGCGAACAAGGUUUCUGCCGAAGCGAACCUAGCUCGCCGAAGAUCGGAGGCGACGUCGGAGACACGCCGGAGACCGUCGGGAGAACCGCGACCCGGGGUUCACGUCGGGAUAAUCACUUACGUUCGUUCUCUUGGAUUGUUCUCAAAUCUUUACUCGUGCAAUAUUACAAGAAAUCGCAACGCAACCAAUGUGAG